rnacentral:misc_RNA from 1 species
UUAUAGUACACAAAACGUUCGCCAGGUCAGAAACAUACGUGUAACGCAAUGCGAAAUAGUCGUAUGUUAGAAGGGCAUUUAUUUUAAUGUUUAUCGUCCUGAUCUCCCGUAUUUUUAUGUAAAUUUAUAUAACUGUCGAUACAGUGCAAGAAGGGAAAGCCACAAGCCUAAGUUUAAGAGAUUUGUUUCAUUGAUUAAGUAUCAUAACGUGUACUUUAAUUUCGAGAUUUUAUAUAUUUUCAUGCAUUACGUGCUUUCACGCGAAUUUUUACACGCAAAAAAAAAAAAGAAAAAAUUCUCGUGUAUUAAUAUUUCGAUCAAAAAGAAGUAUAGUAAUAGCUCCGGCUAAUACUGGUAAUGAUAAAAAUACUGCAUAAAA